CCCCGAUAAAAUGUCGGGGUACUUAUUUAGCUGAUGCAAUAAGGGGUCUGCUCGUG
rfam:Buttiauxella agrestis ATCC 33320 GBAG.assembly.074, whole genome shotgun sequence.